UUGUGAACUUCAGUCCUGAUGCUCCGAGUCUGAGAUCCACACAUGGAGAGCAGCAGCACCAGCAGUGUAAUGAAAGCCCUCAUCUUUAACAUCAAUCCCUCUCUGACGCACAGUAGUUGUGUAGUAGCAGUAGUAGUAUUUGCAGUAGUACUAGUUUUAGAAGGUUGUUAGUCUCACUCCUGAGACACCCUCUUUUAUAUGCCUCAGUUACUCAUUAUGUAAAACAUUUUUGAGGUUAAAUAAUUUUGAACAACAUAAGCUUCACCAGUACCAGGAGGUAUGUCUGCGUGCCAGUCACUUAGCCUAUCCUAUGCCAGAUCCACUGAUUAUAGUGUAGAUUUGAUAUGUGUGAGUCCGUUAUCAUACAGAAAAUAUUCUGUUGCAAUGGCUGCAAUGUCAUACCAGAGAGGAGAGAAGUCUCUAGAAAGAUUUAAAAGGGGCAUGUUUUGAAUUGGAGGUCGUAAUAGUAGUAGUAGUUGCAGUAGUACUUUAUGAGACCCUCUCCUUAUAUGUUAUUUAGAUUAUUUAUGGAGGUUUUGUUGAGAAUCAUGGUUAUAAUACAGUGGUGUGGUGCACAUGAAGCAGUUUUGCAACAACAAGUGUCAUGAGGCCGGUGUGCAGAAGUGGGUGUUUUGUUAGGUCAAUCAGAAUAGCCUGUGCGCAGGAGUGAGUGUAUUGUUAGGUCAAACAGAAUGGCCCGUGUGCACAGACCAAGGUCAGGCCAGUCUUCAAAGCCUACGUACAGAGAGGCCUAAUUACCAGGCAGAGAGGCCUGUGGGUAGAGAUGAAGGUCAGGCCAAACAGAGAGGCCUAAUUUCUCAAAAUCACUUUCGGGGUGAACUGGAUAUGGUGUUUUUUCAAGGACAUAUCUGGUUGUUCAGUUAUCAGUGGGAAAGUGCAAACCUGUCACCCAUCAUGUAGGGCAGGUAGUGCUUCAUGUCUUUGUUUCACCCCUUUGUCUUAGACUUUAAGAAUCACAUCUAUUCCUUCUGUGAAUGCUAGUGAUGAUCUAGUUUUCACCAAAGACAAAUAGUCACAAAUUAUUACAAAAUCUGUAGAAGAGGAAAAUACAUAAGGACAUUAGAUCUUUGGGUGACGUUAUGGAAUUAUAUAAAUAUUGAUGAUGGAAGGUCCAGAGAAACUGACUACAUUUAAUCGAUAUAGAUAGUUUGACUGAGAUUAGACUAAAUGUGUUUUUAAAUUUGUUUUAUCAAUACCAAUUGAUUAUCAUUUCCUUACUCCAGCCCUCUCCCACUGCUGUUUCUGCCAUCAUCAGCAGGUGAAUUAAUGUUACAUGCAGAAAAGUUACAUUUGUAAUUGUGUGAAGAGAAUAGAGUGUUUAAAUUUGAACAACAUUAGCUUCACCAGUACCAGGAGGUGUGUCUGCCUGCCAGUCACUUAGCCUAUCCUAUGCCAGAUCCACUGAUUAUAGUGUAGCUUUGAUAUGUGUGAGUCCGUUAUCAGUCAGAAAAUCUGUUGCAAUGGCUGCAAUGUCAUACCAGAGAGGAGAGAAGUCUCUAGAAAGAUUUCAAAGGGAAAUGUUUUGAAUUGGAGGUCGUAAUAGUAGUAGUAGUAGUAGCAGUAGUACUUUAUGAGACACCCUCUCCUUAUAUGUUAUUUAGUGAUCAUUUAUGGAGGUUUUGUUGAGAAUCAUGGUUAUAAUACAGUGGUGUCGUGAACAUGAAGCACUUUUGCAACAACAAGUGUCAUGAGGCCGGUGUGCAGAAGUGGGUGUUUUGUUAGGUCAAUCAGAAUAGCCUGUGCACAGGAGUGAGUGCUUUGUUAGGUCAAACAGAAUUGCCCGUUUGCACAGACCAAGGUCAGGCCAGUCUUCGGGCCUACGUACAGAGAGGCCUAAUUACCAGGCAGAGAGGCCUGUGGGUAGAGAUGAAGGUCAGGCCAAACAGAGAGGCCUAAUUUCUCAAAACAAGAUCAUACAGUUUCCACAGGUGCAGG
ensembl:lncRNA